rnacentral:misc_RNA from 1 species
UCACCUCUCAAGCCCCGUGCUUGACGUUGGACGGCCCGGCCGGAUCUUUGCGUCCGACCCCUCCUAAAGACAAUGACGGCGGCCUGUGGUUCCCCCGGUACACUGAGCUUCUCACCGAGCACGUACUGGAUCAGGGCGCCCGGGUCCCGGUCCUCUCCCCCUCGUGGGAAAAUUAUCAA